rnacentral:rRNA from 1 species
UGGGGAAUAUUGGACAAUGGGCGCAAGCCUGAUCCAGCCAUACCGCGUGGGUGAAGAAGGCCUUCGGGUUGUAAAGCCCUUUUGUUGGGAAAGAAAUCCAGCUGGUUAAUACCCGGUUGGGAUGACGGUACCCAAAGAAUAAGCACCGGCUAACUUCGUGCCAGCAGCCGCGGUAAUACGAAGGGUGCAAGCGUUACUCGGACUUACUGGGCGUAAAGCGUGCGUAGGUGGUCGUUUAAGUCCGUUGUGAAAGCCCUGGGCUCAACCUGGGAACUGCAGUGGAUACUGGGCGACUAGAAUGUGGUAGAGGGUAGCGGAAUUCCUGGUGUAGCAGUGAAAUGCGUAGAGAUCAGGAGGAACAUCCAUGGCGAAGGCAGCUACCUGGACCAACAUUGACACUGAGGCACGAAAGCGUGGGGAGCAAACA